AUGGCUGUCGUCAGCUCGUGUCGUGAGAUGUUGGGUUAAGUCUCGCAACGAGCGCAACCCUCGCCCUUAGUUGCCAUCAUUAAGUUGGGCACUCCAGGGGGACUGCCGGUGAUAAGCCGGAGGAAGGUGGGGAUGACGUCAAGUCCUCAUGGCCCUUACAGGCUGGGCUACACACGUGCUACAAUGGCGGUGACAACGGGAGGCAAAGGGGCGACCCCUCGCAAAUCUCGAAAAACCGUCUCAGUUCGGAUUGCACUCUGCAACUCGAGUGCAUGAAGUUGGAAUCGCUAGUAAUCGCGGAUCAGCACGCCGCGGUGAAUACGUUCCCGGGCCUUGUACACACCGCCCGUCACACCACGGGAGUGAGCAACACCCGAAGCCGGUGGCCCAACCCGCAAGGGAGGGAGCCGUCGAAGGUGGGGCUCGUGACUGGGGUGAAGUCGUAACAAGGUAGCCGUAGCGGAAGCUGCGGCUGGAUCACCUCCUUUCUAGGGAGCAUCUACGCGAUGCCCCGAUCCAUGGUCUGUCGCAAGACAGGCCGCGCGGUCGCUGAGCCCUUGAGGCCCAGCGAUGUCUAAGCGGAUCGGGCCUAGCAUGUCGACCGAACCUGGCUGGAUGGCCCCGUGCAGCGCGUCUCCCUUACUACUUGGGGAGCACAACCGGCCUCGGCCGCAAACGAUCCCAGCAUGCUGUUGAGUUUUGAGAGACCGGCGUCCGCCGAUCCUCGCGAGCACAGGCCGGCAACGGCGUGAGCAAUCAACGCGAAGAACAGCCGACGUUAACGCCUCUCCACGGUCCUUGAAAACUGCACAGAAGCCACAUCAGCCGCCAUCGAUAAGCGGCGGCUGAAAAACGGGUAUCACCGGGCCCUGCGUGACCUAACGAUCACGUUGGGCCAGAUCACCGUCAAGAUAGUAAGGGCACACGGUGGAUGCCUUGGCACCAAGAGUCGAAGAAGGGCGUGAACGGCUGCGAUAAGCCACGGUUAGGCGCUAAAUAGCCCGUGACCCGUGGAUUCCCGAAUGGGGAAACCCGG
rnacentral:sRNA from 1 species